GACUUUGCCAGAAAGGUUAUGAACCUAAUCAAUGGACUUAUGAUAUCUUAGUACAUGGCCUUUUUAAGCAUGGAAGGAAAGAUGAGGCUAGGAAAUGGGUAGAUGGUUUAGGAAAGGGUUUGAUCCAACUCAUUGUACCUACCAACUCCUGAAUGGUAAAGCAAGUUAAAACAUUCGAAGUUCUACAAAAUUUUGCAAGGGAAAAAAAUUGGAUGC
rnacentral:misc_RNA from 1 species